AUUGAACGCUGGCGGCAGGCUUAACACAUGCAAGUCGAACGAGUGGCGGACGGGUGAGUAAUGCUUGGGAAUCUGGCUUAUGGAGGGGGAUAACGACGGGAAACUGUCGCUAAUACCGCGUACCAUAGGAUGAGCCCAAGUGGGAUUAGGUAGUGGGUGGGGUAAUGGCCUACCAAGCCGACGAUCUCUAGCUGGUCUGAGAGGCGGACAAGCAACAGCGGUAUUGAGACACGGCCCGGAUCCCGACGGGAGGCAGCAGUGGGGAAUAUUGCGCAAUGGGGGAAGCCUGACGCAGCCAUGCCGCGUGAAUGAAGAAGGCCUUCGGGUUGUAAAUUUCUUUCGGUGACGAGGCGUUAAUCACAGAAGAAGCCACGGCUAACUCCGUGCCAGCAGCCGCGGUAAUAC
rnacentral:rRNA from 1 species